GGUUAGUUUUACCCUGCUGGUAGGGAACUCUUUACAAACUGGGGUUGAAUUGUUCACCCACCAACAGGGAACGUGAGCUGGGUUUAGACCGUCGUGAGACAGGUUAGUUUUACCCUGCUGGU
rfam:Lottia gigantea unplaced genomic scaffold LOTGIsca_7181, whole genome shotgun sequence.